rnacentral:rRNA from 1 species
UACGGAAGGCAGCAGUGGGGAAUAUUGCACAAUGGGCGCAAGCCUGAUGCAGCCAUGCCGCGUGUAUGAAGAAGGCCUUCGGGUUGUAAAGUACUUUCAGUCGUGAGGAAGGUGUUAAGGUUAAUAACCUUAGCAAUUGACGUUAGCGACAGAAGAAGCACCGGCUAACUCCGUGCCAGCAGCCGCGGUAAUACGGAGGGUGCGAGCGUUAAUCGGAAUUACUGGGCGUAAAGGGCACGCAGGCGGUUAAUUAAGUUGGAUGUGAAAUCCCCGGGCUUAACCUGGGAAUGGCAUUCAAGACUGGUUAGCUAGAGUCUUGUAGAGGGGGUAGAAUUCCAUGUGUAGCGGUGAAAUGCGUAGAGAUGUGGAGGAAUACCGGUGGCGAAGGCGGCCCCUGGACAAAGGCUGACGCUCAUGUGCGAAAGCGUGGGGAGCGAAACAGGGAUUAGAU